AGAGCAGGGAUUAUGGGGACAUGAUGACAGCAGAGCAAAUAGCGCCUGAGGGCUGACGGUGUUCCUGCUGCGAUGGAGCCAUGCCAGCAACCCUUCUGUUUCUCUCUCAGCUUCAUUUUGGUGGACAGAAAUAAUCCCAGAGUCACGUGGAGAGAGAGGCAGAGUAUCACUGCAGAGACACACUCACACACACACAAAUAAAAGAGAUUGUGAGCAUGUGUGUUCAAAGACAGCGUGACACAGAAAUGAACUGAGAGGGUGAGAGAGGCAGAUGACAAGUGAGAGAGAGUUGGAGGGGGUAACAAACACGCACACACACAUACUGGUUUCCAGCUGUUGUGGGGACCAACAUUUUAAUCAUUACUUGUAGGGACUCAAGGUAUUUAUUUGGACUCUCCAUCACAACCUGUAAACAAAUAGAUCCAUAUGUUACUAAUAAACUAAGAUGUUUGACUACUUCAUGAGAAAUAUGAGCUCAUUUUCACUUUGAUGCCAGCGACAUGUCUCUAAAAGUUUGCAAUAUGGUGAACAAGAGGCUGGCAAAGUCAGUAGUACUAAAAACAAAGAGUUGGCAGCUACUCAGGUGACCUGUCAGCAGGUCGGUCACAUGAUCAGAGAUAAAAAGAGCAUCUUAAAGAGGCAGAGUUUCCACAGCCUGCAAAAACCUGUGGAGCAGCUUCAGAAUAGUGUUCCUCACUGUGAAUCAUCUACAGAACAUCAUACCAUCAACAUACUCUGGAGGAAUCUCUGUGCGCAGGCUGGCAACUGUGACCUUCAGCAGUGCUGCAUUAAAAACACGACUGUGAUAAAUCAGUGCACGGCUCACGAACACUUCCACUUCCACAAUGCAGGUUACAGCUCCAUCAUGGAGGGAAGACACCACGUGUGACCACGAUGGGGAAAUGUGCUCCUUUAAAACUGAUCUGAGGUCGGACCUGUCCGAAGAGGAGAGGGAGCGUCCGGCUCAUUAUCAGCGCUCAGGUCAAAGCCUGAUCAGCCUGGGGGGCAUCAAUCCCUAUGGAGCUGGAAGCAGGCACAUCUGGAAAGGCACCAUCAGUGCUGAAAGGUGUGAACAGGUUUUAGAGAAACAUCUGCUCCAUCCAGAUGUGUUUUUCAGGAAGGCCUUUAUGUUUGAGCAGGACAACGCUAAACCAUAGACUGCAUUUUUUCCAGCAGCACAGCUUCGUAGGGGACGAGUCCAGCCGAGUGACGGACCUUUGACCGGCUGAGAACAUCUGGAGCACCAUGAAAGGAACAACAGGAUGAAGCAGAGCCAGAAUCUUCCAUCAGACCAGAACAGCUGCUGUCAGAGAAGAGGGCGCUGCACAGUGGGGAACAGGCCGUGUUAUGGAGUGGACGUAUCACACAGAAGCUUGUUUUUAAUGCAGGACGUGAACCCAGGAGACUGAUGGUUGUUGUAAUGAAGAAAGAGAAGAAGAAAACCUGAGGCUACAAGAGGAGAGAGAAGACCAAAGCUGGAGCUCACAUAGGUGUAACACGCUAGGACAGACACAGGAGGGAGGGAAAUGAAAUAUUACCACAAAGAAAAACUAAACAGAACUUCUGGAAGCUCCCAUCAGAGUCCUCUUUGGGGCCAUUACUGUUUAUAUUAUUAAAUGUUUUUUCAGUCUUCGGACAUAUGAAGGGGGCUCUGCCAUGCAACAGGGAGAAAGACCCUUUCCCUAAGGAUGUGUUGUGGUUUUUAUGGAUUCCUUACUUGUGGAACUGAACCCAUGUGGAGUUUCCCAGCAGAGCCACCAUGUGCUCUUCGAUGUGCGAAGAUAUCCUCUGAAAACCUCCACUGUGGAGCAAAACAAGACACACUGCUGUCUGCCUGCAAAGAUUUCUGUAUCCGGUCUCAAUCUGAAGAUCAGCACUUGGUAAACUUGUUGUAUAUACGAAAAAAACUGGUGUCUGAAAUGUCUGACAAAGGAAAAUCUUGAUGUUGCAUUUGUUGCCUGUUGAUGGUUAAGUUUGUGAGAAAGUGAGCAACAAUGAAAAAAAACAAACCUAAACUAGAACCUGGAAACUAAUAACUAAACACUGAGAAGCUAGAAAACCGGGAUAAAGGUCACAAGGCGCGUGGGGGGGAAAAACACAGCACAGUGAGGGUACAACACAACAACUGACAAAGAGAAACACAGGUCUUAAAUAUUCCGGCAGGACAAUGACAGCAUGGGGAACAGGUGGUAACACAGCUGGGACAAAUCAGACCUAACGAGACAAAGGAAGCAAAGCAGAACACAUCGACCUAGGACACAGACUGUCAAAGUAAAACAGGAAGCAUAACACAGAGAUGCGGACCUGACACUGAGAUAUAGCGACAUGAAAAAGGCACGGAGUAGGCAUAACACUGAAAACAGGGAAGGCAUAUAAACAAAACCUAAGACUGGAAAUCAGGAGAUACUAAAGAACUUAGGGAGCUAGGAAUACAGAAACAAAAACCAAGAGACUAGCAAUGACACGUCACAAUGAAAUCAAAGAUUAAUAAUAACACAAAACACUGGGUCAGUGACCCAGGACCGUGACAGUAAACACUGCAGUGGUGGUUACUGUCCUCUUAGUCUGGAUUACUGAUAACCCACCUCAAUCAUUUUCUCUAACAAAAACGUUUGUGCAGA